AGCAGGUUGGUGGCCAUGGAAGUCAGAAUCCACUAAGGAGUAUGUAUCAACUCACCUGCCAA
rnacentral:ncRNA from 1 species